rnacentral:tRNA from 1 species
GGGGCCAUAGCUCAGGGGCAGAGCUUUUGACUGCAGAUCAAAAGAUUUCCAGUUCAAAUCUCCUACUAGACUCA